GCGGGUAUGUUGAAAUUGGUAGACAUCGCUGUGUCAGACGCAGCGGCCUUUGAGGCGUAGAGGUUCGAGCCCUCUUACCCGCACCA
rnacentral:tRNA from 1 species